UUUAAUUGCCGUUGGAAAAAGCAUCACAUUCAUUGACCGCCUCUCGUCUCUUCUGAGUCGCCUCGAAUUCUCCGGCUGCGACGCCGCCGCCGAUGCCGGCUGCUCAUCGUGGCUUCAGGCGCCGCCGACGUCGAAGCAAUCUCCGUGUUUAUUUAAUCGAUGAGGCGGAAUUCACGUCACCAUCGACCUCUUCACGGACUCGCCGUCUGAUUUCGUUGACACCGAUUCUCGCCGAUCGGUGAGAGGCGCUCCAGGAUCCACUGGGCAGUCGCUGCCGUCGGAGUCUCACUUCGGUCGGUGUCAUACUCCAGCCAUCUCGGCUGCAUCGUCACUGUCAAUUUCGUCGGACUGCUGUGGACUUCGCGGCUUAGGUUAUUUGUAAGUCAGUUUGAGUGCCGAAUCGUUCGUGCUGCAUCGGAAAAUCAUUUAGUCCAUGAGCUUGGGAAGAGGUUGACUGCAGGAGCAACUAGCUUCCUAUAUUGGACUCCCGGCCCUGAUGAAAAAAAGAGGAAUAAGCUUCAUAAAAAGGAAUUUUAAUGCCAGAAAAGGAAGGUAGGAAGGUUUGCUUUCUGCAUUUUGGUAUGUGAGAAGGUACCGGGUUUCCAGCAGGUAGGACAUCCGAGCUUUUAUUGUAGUCGUCAAAUCUUGGUCUUUGCGGAUUCUGGUUUGCUGAACUUGCAUCUAAAAAAGAAAUCAUGGGCCUUGGAAGCUGGUUGAGCACUCAAUUGAGUCUAUAACAAAUGUUCUUGCAUUGCUGAAAAAAUGUUUGGUAUAGAUUCAAGAGAGUUAAAUGCUCCCACCGAGGCAAGUUACCCGAAGGGCCAACUGGAACGUAAUACAAAGCGCUUGGCAGAUGUCGUCUCAGAUGCUUCAAAUUUUCGGUCAUUCAUUAUGAUAAACUUUAGGGAAGCUUUAGCAGCAAUCUUUCUACUCCCUCAUGGAGAGUUUGUAUCUGGCUGGUGAUCGUCUAACGUUCUAGUUUGUGAAGAGGAUGCACCAUUAGAUGUACCUCGUUCAUCUUAUGCUCAUCAGAAAACGUCUUUGUUGAUUAAAGUGAUUGCAAACCUUCAUUGCUUUGUUCCUGAUGUAUACCAGGAUGAGAAAGAUCUGUUUCUCAACAUGUUCAUUCGGUUAAUAGAGAAGGACUAUCAGAAACUGUCAGCAUUUUGGUAUGCGAGAAGGAAAGACUUUGUGUUUGAGGCAGAUUACAGAGCAAUCAUACUGCGUUUGAGGCUACUGAGAUAAUUCAGCAUAUUCUAGUGUUACUCGUAGUUGAUUUGAAGGCCUCUCUAAGCAUUUAGAUUCAUUCUUGCAAAUGUUAUCUCUUGUGCUGCUAAGUUGUUUUCUGUGAUUGUUCCUAGUGCAUAAAUAGACUAGAUAGUACUUAGUCGAUCUGAAGGUCGAGGGUAGUAGGGGCCGACUGAGUUCUUAACUUAAAAGUAGCGGGGGGAAGGGUCGAAAAAUGAAGGCACGAGUCUAUUUAUUGAUUUUUGAGCUUGCUUUGCUUGAUCUUCUGUUUCUUGGUUGGUGCGCUUAUAUUUUCUACUUAUUUAAUUCAUUCUUUGCUGCAUUUUGCAGCUUUAUAAUUAAUCUGUAAUAUAUAUAUAUAUAUAUAUAUAUAUAUAUAUAUACAUAUAUAAUAUUAUAUUUUUAUGUGUUAUACGACGUUUUUCUACUUUUUCUAAUCCACUAUUCUCUUCUUUGUACAUACAUAUAGAUAUAAUUUUUGUUUAGUUGUAGGAAGUGGAAUACAUACAACAGUUUAUAAUUUUUGUGUCCUUGGAAUUCUUCUACAUGUUGCACUACUAAACCUGUAACCCUUUUCUUGGCUGUAUGCAGGAAAGAAUUUCUGUGACUUAGAUUACUGAGUUGUGUGCCAAUUCUGUUACGUUUGAGGCUUCUGAUGUAAUUUAGCAUAUUCUCGUGUCACUCUUAGUCGAUUUGAAGGCCUCUCUAAGCAUUUGGAUUCAUUCUAUUUGAAGGCCUCUCUAAGCAUUUAGAUUCAUUCUUUCCAAUGUUCUCUUGUGCAACUAAGGUGUUUUCUAUGAUAGUUCCUAGUGCAUAAAUAGAGUAGAAUAUACUUAGUCGAUCUGAAGGUCGGGGGUGGUAGGUGGCAACUGAGUUUUUAACUUAUAAGAAAUGGGGGAAGGUGUGGAAAAUAGAAGGCACAAGUCUAUUUAUGGGUUUUUGAGCUUGCUUUGCUUGGUCUUCUGCUUCCUGGUUGUUGCGCCUAUAUUUUUCUACUUAUUUUAUUCAUUCUUUGCUGUCUUUUGCAGCUAUAUAAUUAAACUGUUACAUAUAUUAAAUUUUUGUUUGUUAUACUGUGCUUGACGUUUUUCAUCUUUUUCUAAUCCAAUUUUUGCUACCUUGCAGCAUAAUUAAUUAAUACAUGCAUAGUAUCCUAUUUUUCUCUGUCUCCUAUGCCGUGUACAAAUAUGUGCAAUAUUAGUGUUUCUUAGAUAUGUAAACCCCAUCGAUUGUCAAAUCUUGGCUUCUUAAUAUAUCUGUUAAACGCUUUUACAGGCUCUUUCCCAAGUAAAGUUACUUACUAGACACAUUUCCUUUUUACUUUGGCAUUCAGUUUGCUGUAUUGCAUCUAAAAAAGAAAUCAUGGGCCUUGGAAGCUGGUGGAGCAAUCAAUGAGUGUCAAGUAAAGAUACUUUCUAUAAGGAUCAGUCAUUAAGCAUCAAUGUGUGACUCGCCUUACGUGGGGUAUUGCUUUACGAGCUGUUUUAGAUGCUUUGAGGAAGCCUGCAGAUUCAGAAGUUUGUUCCUUCCUAGUUUAUCAGUUAAUGUUAUUAUUGUGAAUUUCAGUCUUACCUUGGAUUUAUGACAUUCCUUUGGGAGUAUGGCAUUGGAGCAGUUUGUGGACCAUCUCAUUGAGUGGCCACAGUAUGCCAUCAUAUCCUGCACUUUGUAGCAUUUAUAGAUAGGGCACUCAACAGUAUUUCGGCGGCUUAUACUGAACGUGAUGUUGGCCAUACUGCCAAUACUGAUCACCGACACGGUCAUAUUAAAUCUUCAGCUCCACAUAUAGAGAUUGCAGGCCCAUCAUUUUCUCUGAUCGGACCCAGCAGCAAUUGUCUGGAUUAGCAAUUCCCUCUUCGAUCCCACUGCAACAGAGACCACCAAGUUCUCAGAGUUCACUCCUAAUUACAUGAAUCCAUCACAACACACCUACCCUUCCUAAGUCACUCAGUGGUGCUUUGCUGUCAUACAAUCUGCCUCGUCGGAUUUCCAUGGUUUUCUAGAUCAACCUCAGCAAGUAAAUAAUCAGGUUUAACUGUGCUACUCUCUCUCACUGUGCGCUUUAUGGAUUACAUUAACAUGGGGACUGGUUUUACAACUAUGAGAAGAGAAACUCCCAUUGAGGUGAUUGGAUGUAGCUGUCUUAUCAUUUUUAAUUCUCUGUUUACACUUUGUUUCGAUCCUUUUGGUUUUCCUAUGCUUUUACUCUGACGAUUUUCUUCCUUGUUAUGAGUUCGCAAUUACAAGUUCUAUUAAUAGCACAUUUAACUUUAUCCCACUGGUUAACUAAAAUCUCACACUUCUAAAUUCUUUCUUAACUCCCGAUUACUUUCUCGUUUUCCUUUUCCCCUUUUGUUUCUUUAUUAUUUGUUUUCUUCCCUGUGCAAUGGAGGCGCUCUGAUUCUGGUUCGGGCUGUCAUGAACUUAAAGUUAUCGUGCUCAGACAAUAUUUCCUCAUACAUGGCUGUUAUCUCCUGCCUAAAAUCUAAAGCUUUAUCUAUUCUUUUGCAACUCUGUGAAGCUGAAGUGUAUCAUAUACCUGGAUGAGGUGGCCAGCAACACAGCAACUCAGGAUAUGGCAAAGUCAGUUGGACUCGAGGUUCUUGCAUUGCUGAAAAAAAGCUUGGUAUAGAUUCAAGACAGUUAAAUGCUCCCUCGGAGGCAAGUUACCGAACAGGCAACUGGAGCUUAAGACAAAGCUCUUGGCAGAUGCCUUCUCAAAUGCUUCAAAUUAUCUGUCAUUCAUCAUGAAUUGUGUUUAGUGUUUGUAUUUUGUGUAUUGUGUAGUGUUUUUUUGUAUGCAUGUGUAAAGUGUGUU